rnacentral:rRNA from 1 species
GAUGAACGCUGGCGGCGUGCCUAAUACAUGCAAGUCGAGCGAACAGACGAGGAGCUUGCUCCUCUGACGUUAGCGGCGGACGGGUGAGUAACACGUGGAUAACCUCCCUAUAAGACUGGGAUAACUUCGGGAAACCGGAGCUAAUACCGGAUAAUAUAUUGAACCGCAUGGUUCAAUAGUGAAAGACGGUUUUGCUGUCACUUAUCGAUGGAUCCGCGCCGCAUUAGCUAGUUGGUAAGGUAACGGCUUACCAAGGCAACGAUGCGUAGCCGACCUGAGAGGGGGAUCGGCCACACUGGAACUGAGACACGGUCCAGACUCCUAAGGGAGGCAGCAGUAGGGAAUCUUCCGCAAUGGGCGAAAGCCUGACGGAGCAACGCCGCGUGAGUGAUGAAGGUCUUCGGAUCGUAAAACUCUGUUAUUAGGGAAGAACAAAUGUGUAAGUAACUAUGCACGUCUUGACGGUACCUAAUCAGAAAGCCACGGCUAACUACGUG